rnacentral:misc_RNA from 1 species
GAUGAAGAACGUAGCGAAAUGCGAUAAGUAAUGCGAAUUGCAGAAUUCAGUGAAUCAUCGAAUCUUUGAACGCACAUUGCGCCCGCCAGUAUUCUGGCGGGCAUGCCUGUCUGAGCGUCAGUUCAACCCUCACAACCGGCUUUCUUGCUGGAUGUGGUGUUGGGGAUCGGCUGCCUUUCUUCUAGGUGGCCGGCCCCGAAAUAGAGUGGCGGUCUCGUCGUGGCCUCCUCUGCGUAGUAGCAAUAUCUCGCAGGCGGAGAGCGGCGUGGCCACGCCGUAAAACACCCAACUUCUGAAUGUUGACCUCGAAUCAGGUAGGAAUACCCGCUGAACUUAAGCAUAUCAAUAAGCGGAGGA